rnacentral:lncRNA from 1 species
GCAGAAACAUCAUCAUUCACAGGCAAUACAAACGGAGAAUCAUUAUCAUCAUCAUUCACCAAGGAAGUAGAAGAACCAUUCACAGAAAAACUUACAGAAGAAGCUUCAUCUACUUUUAUAUUGAUAGAUUCUAUCACCGUCUUAGAUCGUAAAUUAUACGCACGAUAAGCACGACUUGUAGUAGAAUAACCAAGAAAAAUCCCUUCGUCACUUCGAAAGUCAAAUUUUUCAAGAUUUUCACGAUCCCGAAGGAUAAAACAUUUACUCCCGAAGACACGAAAGUAUUU